AGGACACCACAAAGUGAUGUAAGUGCUAUGCCUGCUUGUUUGUUGUUUUCCCCUCAGCCACUAUUCUCAAAUGUGUCACCAAAUGCAGAACUUCCUUUGUCACAUUUUCAGGAACUAAUAAACCAGAAAGCAGCAAGUAGGCAGACACCUGUAGCUUUGGAGGCCUCGGCUCUCUGUGAGGGCAGCGUGUUUACCGAUGGUUAACCAGGCAGUGCCGGCACACGUGAUUCAUCCUGCUGUUUUGUGAUCUUCAGCGCAGGAGGCUUUAGCUCUGAAAGAUUGUCCCCCGAUAGCUGCAUCACUGAAAUAAAGGACACCUCCAUCACCAGCGACCGCUCACAGACGAGCAAUCCUCAGGAACAGACGGGGCCUCAAUGGCACCUCCUCUGUCCAUGAUGGCGUGUUGAAGGGUCAGUCCUGUGCAGGUAUCUCCUGCUGCUGGCUGUUCAGCAUUGCGAUGGCCAUGAUGUAUCUGGAUGGCACUCUGUCUCUCAGCAUCAUCUCCUGUGGUGUUCUCUGGGCCUCAGGUCUGACAACACGGAUGUCACCUAGCCUCAGCACUGGGACUAUGUGUGUCUCUGUAUCAACUCCUGUCCUCUUAGGAAGGUUCCUUCCUGCCUCUGCUGAGAACAUCGCCAGUGAAGAUAGGUUUUCUAGUAAACCCACACGUAGUUGUCUACAGUCGUUUGAUCUUAUUCAUAAAAGAUUCCGUGGGGGCUGAUCUUGGCUGUCUGUACCUGGAAAAGAGGGCAACUCAAUCGAGGAACGUCGUCAGAUUGACCUGUGGUUUUCCUGAUUGCUGAUUGACACAGGAGGGAUGGGUGGACCCCACUGUGGGUGAUGCUUUCCCUGGGCAGGUGGGCCUGGGCUGCAGAAGGAAGGGGGUGGAAUGUGUGCCUGGGAGCAGGCCAGGAGCCAGCUUCCUCCAUCUUCUCUGCCUCUGUCCCUGUCCCCAGGCUCCUGUCCCCAGGCUCCUGUGUCUGCCCCCAUCCUUGUUUUCAGGCUCUGGUCUUGGCUGCCUUUGAUGGUGGGCUGUAACCUAUAAGUUAAAUAAACACUUUCCCACCCCA